AGGCAAUCACGAUGGAUGAAGUCAAGAUUAGUGCUUUGUUUGGAAUUAUGCUUUAUUUUGUGUGUGGUGUUUUUUGGAAUUAUGCUUUUUUUUUUAUUAUUAUGCUUUUAUGUAUGGUUUGUUUUGUGUGUUGUUUGCAAUAAAUUAAGGUUUGUUUUUUAUUCAUCUUUGUUUUGAUGCUCAAAUGUUUUUAAUAAAUAGUCAUAUUAUUUAAUACUUUUUUUAUUGAAUAAAAAGGAAACAAUACAACAAAUUAAAGGAUAAUACAACAAUACAACAUAUGGCAAAGGUGCUUCAAUACAACCUAAUGGUUUUCAUCAUUUAACCAAUCCGCAUUGCUAGGUCCGUCGUCAUGGAAAAGUUUUCUUCUCAUCACAUCCCUUCGUCUUAGCUUCCAAUAGGCCUUGGUUUCAGGAGACAUAUGGCUUGUAUCCAUGGCCAUGAUUUUCAUCUCUCUAUCAUCCAUGUCUUUUGCUUGUGCCUUCUGCUGUUGAAAAACAAAUGCUUCCUCUCGUGCCAUGUCCAUUUCAUCUCUUUUCAAGUCUCUCUCAAUUCUUAGUGAGGUGUUCUUAGCUAUUUGCUCUAAUAAAUGUACACAUUCAUUGUUCGAAGUGCCCCCUCUCUUGGCC
rnacentral:lncRNA from 1 species